CCCAGACCUCACCCCUUCCACCAUGUGAGGCUACAGGGAAAAGUCUAGGAAGCCCGCUCUCACCAGACACAUAAUUUGCUGAGGCCUUGAUCUUGGACUUCCCAGCCUCCCGAACUGUGAGAAAAAAAUGCUUGUUGUUUAUAAGCCAUCCAGUCUAUGAUCUUUUGUUAGAGUGGCCCAAAUGGACUAAGAUAUAAAUGCAGAAAUGUUUUUUGCUUGGCUGUAACGAUGUUUUGGUUUUCCAGGGUUGGCAAAACACAUUGAGCAAGAUGACUGCCUGUUAUAAAUGUGGCAUCAGACAAAGACAAGUUGUGUUCCAUACUGGAGUCACACUUGGCCACAGUGGUGAACAAGACGGCCUUCGCGGGAAGGUAAUCAUGAGAACAACAAAUCUUGAAGCCAUCCCCAUGGGGGUGGCCUUAUUCAGUCUGAAGAAGAGAAAACUGCAGGAGGAUAGGGUAACGGUUCUCAAGUAUUGGAAGGCACCAGAUUUUUUCUGGCAUCUGUAAAAGAAGACCAGGGCCCGGGACUGAAAGAAAUCUCUCCCUCCAAAGUAGGAAGAGGAGGACAAGGAGAAGGAGGAGAAAGAAGAUUACACCCCUGGACUCUGGUCUUACCCUAGGAUUCCUCUCUCCCUUCACCAGGCCUCCAGGCGGUCAGUAGGACCCAGGAGCCCCCAGCAGUAUUUUUUCUAAUGUGUGAGUUACCCUGUCAAGAGCAGUAUUAACAGCACCUUCAGCAGAACAACUGAAGGAGGGCUUCGGCACUGCAAAUUUGAACCGCCUCAAGUUGUCCCUCUAGUGUGAGGUGAAGAUACACUUUCACAACCCCUCAGGUAGUCCAGUGAGUGUCUGUCAUAUAACACAUACACACGCUACACUUUCCGAGGACAAAAAGCUAAUUUUCAGAAACAGUAGAGUCAAAAUCCACUUUUUCCAUAUGCAAUAAAAUUUCAGAGCAGCUUCUUCCCA
rnacentral:lncRNA from 1 species